UACAGAGGGCGCGAGCGUUGUCCGGAAUCACUGGGCGUAAAGGGCGCGUAGGUGGCCACCAUAAGGCCGCGGUGAAAGUUCGGGGCUCAACCCCGGAUCGGCCGCGGCGACUGUGGGGCUCGGGUACUGUAGAGGCAGAUGGAAUUCCGGGUGUAGCGGUGGAAUGCGUAGAGAUCCGGAAGAAUACCGGUGGCGAAGGCGGCCUGCGUGGGCGAGUGGC
rnacentral:rRNA from 1 species